rnacentral:rRNA from 1 species
AAUAGAUACCCUGGUAGUCCACCCCGUAAACGUUGGGAACUAGUUGUGGGGACCAUUCCACGGUUUCCGUGACGCAGCUAACGCAUUAAGUUCCCCGCCUGGGGAGUACGGCCGCAAGGCUAAAACUCAAAGGAAUUGACGGGGACCCGCACAAGCGGCGGAGCAUGCGGAUUAAUUCGAUGCAACGCGAAGAACCUUACCAAGGCUUGACAUACACGAGAACACCCUGGAAACAGGGGACUCUUUGGACACUCGUGAACAGGUGGUGCAUGGUUGUCGUCAGCUCGUGUCGUGAGAUGUUGGGUUAAGUCCCGCAACGAGCGCAACCCUCGUUCUAUGUUGCCAGCACGUAAUGGUGGGAACUCAUGGGAUACUGCCGGGGUCAACUCGGAGGAAGGUGGGGAUGACGUCAAAUCAUCAUGCCCCUUAUGUCUUGGGCUUCACGCAUGCUACAAUGGCCGGUACAAAGGGCUGCAAUACCGUGAGGUGGAGCGAAUCCCAAAAAGCCGGUCCCAGUUCGGAUUGAGGUCUGCAACUCGACCUCA